rnacentral:rRNA from 1 species
CAGGCUUAACACAUGCAAGUCGAGGGGCAGCAUGGUCUUAGCUUGCUAAGGCCGAUGGCGACCGGCGCACGGGUGAGUAACACGUAUCCAACCUGCCGUCUACUCUUGGACAGCCUUCUGAAAGGAAGAUUAAUACAAGAUGGCAUCAUGAGUCCGCAUGUUCACAUGAUUAAAGGUAUUCCGGUAGACGAUGGGGAUGCGUUCCAUUAGAUAGUAGGCGGGGUAACGGCCCACCUAGUCUUCGAUGGAUAGGGGUUCUGAGAGGAAGGUCCCCCACAUUGGAACUGAGACACGGUCCAAACUCCUACGGGAGGCAGCAGUGAGGAAUAUUGGUCAAUGGGCGAGAGCCUGAACCAGCCAAGUAGCGUGAAGGAUGACUGCCCUAUGGGUUGUAAACUUCUUUUAUAAAGGAAUAAAGUCGGGUAUGGAUACCCGUUUGCAUGUACUUUAUGAAUAAGGAUCGGCUAACUCCGUGCCAGCAGCCGCGGUAAUACGGAGGAUCCGAGCGUUAUCCGGAUUUAUUGGGUUUAAAGGGAGCGUAGAUGGAUGUUUAAGUCAGUUGUGAAAGUUUGCGGCUCAACCGUAAAAUUGCAGUUGAUACUGGAUAUCUUGAGUGCAGUUGAGGCAGGCGGAAUUCGUGGUGUAGCGGUGAAAUGCUUAGAUAUCACGAAGAACUCCGAUUGCGAAGGCAGCCUGCUAAGCUGCAACUGACAUUGAGGCUCGAAAAGUGUGGGUAUCAAACAGGAUUAGAUACCCUGGUAGUCCACACGGUAAACGAUGAAUACUCGCUGUUUGCGAUAUACAGCAAGCGGCCAAGCGAAAGCGUUAAGUAUUCCACCUGGGGAGUACGCCGGCAACGGUGAAACUCAAAGGAAUUGACGGGGGCCCGCACAAGCGGAGGAACAUGUGGUUUAAUUCGAUGAUACGCGAGGAACCUUACCCGGGCUUAAAUUGCAGAUGAAUUACGGUGAAAGCCGUAAGCCGCAAGGCAUCUGUGAAGGUGCUGCAUGGUUGUCGUCAGCUCGUGCCGUGAGGUGUCGGCUUAAGUGCCAUAACGAGCGCAACCCUUGUUGUCAGUUACUAACAGGUUCCGCUGAGGACUCUGACAAGACUGCCAUCGUAAGAUGUGAGGAAGGUGGGGAUGACGUCAAAUCAGCACGGCCCUUACGUCCGGGGCUACACACGUGUUACAAUGGGGGGUACAGAGGGCCGCUACCACGCGAGUGGAUGCCAAUCCCCAAACCUCUCUCAGUUCGGACUGGAGUCUGCAACCCGACUCCACGAAGCUGGAUUCGCUAGUAAUCGCGCACCAGCCACGGCGCGGUGAAUACGUUCCCGGGCCUUGUACACACCGCCCGUCAAGCCAUGGGAGCCGGGGGUACCUGAAGUGCGUAACCGCGAGGAGCGCCCUAGGGUAAAACUGGUGACUGGGGCUAAGUC